AGAUGCCUCGCCAGAAAUGUAGAUUAGUAAGAAACAUCAGAUAAAGUUUUCCCGAUUAUUGAUCACAAGGGUUUCGUGGUGUAGUUGGUUAUCACGUCUGUCUAACACACAGACGGUCCCCGGUUCGAGCCCGGGCGAAGCCAUUUUUUAUUCUUGCAACAAAGUUUAGGCUGCUCCCACCCUUUUGAUUUGCAGACUCAACCUCCUCCAUCAAGAUUUUGUUCGGACUUCGGAGUGGUUGGUUUGUAUACACUAUACAAGAUGCUUGGGGCUUCUUUUACUGUGCAUGAUUGUAUAUGUUAUGAUGUAGAACGGCGUGUUUGUUGUUAAGUUAUUGCCAUCAUAAUCAUAACAGUAUUAUGGUAUGGUGGGGUUGUUGGGAAACGAAGGGGUCUAUUUCUUUCUUGUUGAUGGUAUACAAUGAUGAAUAGGUCACCAGCAGAGAUGUGGUUUGGCGAUCAUUAAGUUCAAAUGAGUAUAGAUAGUGUAUUAGAUGUUGUUGUGGCUGGUGAUAGAGAACUCAGAAAUUUAGUCUGACACCCCAAAUGUGGUUCUUAGGGAAGCUUAUGAAAGUUAAAAAAUUAUCCAGAAACACCCAUUGCUGAUAUUAAGUAGAGAUAGGCAGGGCUAAUAAAAGAAUUGGUGCUCAAGAGAAGCAUAGGCUCAUACAAGAACACAGAUGAGCAUUUACGCCAGAUAAGGAAUCUUUCUGCUGAUUAUUUCAGUGACAAUAAAUAAACAUCUGAUGAAGAGUCAGGACAUAACCUCCUUUCAGAAUAUAUCUCGGAUGGAACUGCACAAAGUUCUUGACUUCUUGCUAAUUGUGGGUUGAACCUGAUAAAAAUUACAGAGGGCUAAUUAGGAUUAAAUGUGUUCCAGCAAUUCGGGCUUUCAAUUGGUAAGACUGUGUAUGGGCUACUUCUAAUGACCCGUCCUUAGAUUCCAUGCAUAUUAUCAUAUAGAUGGAGCUGGGAAUAGUAACAUCGCUAUCCACUAAAUCAUUGUAUAUAUAUUAGGAUAAGUCUAAACGUUGCUGGUCAAGGGUGGAAGCAAACAGUAAAAACUGCUAAGAGUGUAUAUUCAGAUUCUUCAGAUACUUGUUAGAUGCAGAAAUGAGUUGUUGCUGAAGUCACAACCUGCUUCUCAUUGUAUGUUGGUAUUGUCCUUGUAAUAUCACGAAAUUUUUUUGAAACAGAACUAACAAGUAUGUAACAGAGAAGAGGGUACUGUAGACUGAAUUAGACUUCAAUACAACUUUCAGUUUAGAGUAUAGUGCAUUUUGAUAUUGGAAUCUCUUUUGCAUAGUCCCAGAUAUUAUUAAAAUUUGUUUCUGUUUCCGUUCCCUAUCCCUGUUUAAUUUGUGCGCUUCUUAUAUUUGUCAGAUAUAUUUGAAUAAAUGCAUUACUUUUGUCUAAUUAAUUAAGUUAUUCUUUUUCUUUACUUGCCAACUUAGUGUUCUAGGUUUUUCAUCGACUUGCAAAAGUAACAUUCGGUAUAUGUCAUGUUGUUAUCACAAAUUUAAUGCAACAUACGCAUCUCUACUAUCUCUAACCACGUUGUUUAGCCUUUCUGCCAGCACUCAGAACCAUAUAAUAAUAACAUAACAGUGUGACCAUGGGCAGACCGUAGUUAGGGCUGGGGUUGGCCCCAGCUUGGGUGAAAUUUCGGCCCAACCCAUUAAUAUUUAUAUAUGUGUUAAAGUCCAGCUCGGAUAAAAAAAUAAGAGCCUUCUUAAUUAGCUUGAUCCAUAAAUUGUCUUAUACAUAAAAUUACAUAAUAAUAAUAAUAAUAAUAAUAAUAAUAAUAAUAAUAAUAAUAAUAAUAAUAAUAUAACGCUCCUCAGUCUUGCUUUCAUGGGAUAAAAGUCUAAGUUGAACACUUAAAGUACGUAACUUUUAGACCUAUUUUUCUCUCCAUUGCGUUUUUCUUUAUUUCAGCACCCCUUUUCACCAAGCACUACAUGAAACUCAAGACACAUACUAUUAUAUUUACAUGAAUCAUUUAGUCAGCGUGUAUUCAAAAUCAGCCGGUUAACUUGGGGCCAAAGCAAUUACAGAACCUCACGUUAAAGCCGAUCUGAAAUUAGUUUCCUAUACAUAAUUCAAAGAGAAAACGAUCGAGAGCGAGGGGCAAUUAAGAAGAUGGGUUUGUCACAUGAUGCUGCUCCGACUUUCAAAUCUUAUGGGGUUCCUCAUGGCUCAACGAGUAUGCCCUUUUAUUACAAUUAUUUACAACAUUCUUUCUUUUUCUCAUGAUUUUGAGUGGAAUUGCGAAAGGUGUUGAUUUUAAUCUUGUUUGUUUGUGUGUAUUUGUUUGUUUGUUUAAUCCCCGUGUUUUGUUUGGUUUUUGGUGUUUUUGGCGAUUUUUCGUGUUACAUGUGAUACGUUUCGUUGUUCGCUUCGCAUACGACGAGGCAACUUGAUCGAUAGCAUAGCGGUGGUGGCCGAUGGUGGCGGUGACGGCGACGGCGGUUUCAGGACGGGAUCCGGAUCCGGUUUCAAAAAGGAAAGCGCGUUAAUUGUGCCUUAAUUGAGGGCGGUAAUUGUGCCUCGUUAAUUAUGCCUCUUUAUUGAGGGCGUAAAUUGUGCCUCAAUUAUUGAGGGCGUAAAUUGUGCCUCUUUAUUGAGGGCGUUAAUUUGAGGGCGUUAAUUGUGUCUUAAUUAAGGAUAUUAAUAUUUUAUUAUGAUGCCUUAAUUAAGAGAUUAAUUGUCUCAAUCAUGAGUUAUCAUGAUUGUGGGAAUAUUUUGAUUUAAUCUGUUAAAUAUAUCGACUUAUAUUCUUUUUGUUUCUCUUGUUUUAUUUUCAGGAUUCUUGGAAGAAGGCCGGUUUUCUUUUCGGACAUUAAAGUUUUAUUGUCUAAAUUUCCCCGGUCAUCUUGCAUGUCCGACGGUUAGAUAAUAAGCUUUCUUGAAUGAAAGAAUUAUCACGGUGAAUUGCCGAUUCUCGUUGA